AAGCCGACAUGGAAAAGUUAUUAAACAGUGGCUUCAAUAAACGGCCCAAUAAGUUAUGUAAAGUGCGGGUGCAUCGCGUUACAUUACAACCCCUACAUGGGCCGGCGGGGUUGGGACGCAUGCGCUCGCACCACCGGCCGCGCACGGCAUAUGCGGAAUAUUAAAGGAGGAAAGAGAAAAAAAUUAACUUGUGAAGCCAUUUUCGUCUAUCGGCGGCCCCCGCGCCCGCCGUAGGGUUUCUGUGAUGCAGGCAGAGAGGCUCGCGCGGCCGCCGCGACCGAACGCCGCCUCGUUGCUCCGCCGCGCUCGCUCCGACAUCCGUCGUUCCGUCGUUCCGUCGACCCGUCGCUCCACCCGCUCUUGUGAUUACACGUUGUGCGACACAUUAUAAUUGUGCAGUGUUAUUUGGACGUUUGAGAAGCCGCCGCUACGUGAACAGUGUUACUAACUAAUAAGAACUUAUAACAAAAGUGCAGUUUACAUACUUUACUGUGAGUGUAAGUUUUUGAAAAGUUUAAUUUUUAUCUUCUCUAGUGAUACGUCUUGUAAAGUGAACUUAACUAUAUUUGAAAUCGUGUUUCUUGUGCCGCGUCAAGUUUGAUAUGAAGUAGCAGUAGUAAUUUAGAAAAGUUAAAACUUUUACAAGUUACUCUAAAUACUCGUACAUUUCGGAGUUUCGUCCAAUUCAAGUUCCAGAGUUUAUGAUCGCAACCGUACAGAUCAUUAACCCGCUUGGCUCCCUCCUUCGGCUUUUGAACCAGAAUUGGAGUUCCAGUGCGACUUAAAAUGUCAUAAGGUACUAAUUGGCUAUGAGAGGAUGAGCCAUGGAAUCACGAAGCGCGCCGCCAAGCCCCGACGAGCCCGGGCAGGCGGUGUACGACAGUCGCUGUGGAAGGUUUCCACACCCUCCUACUCUUCAGCGGACAUUCGCGAGCUGCCGCGAGACCACACGUCCCCGUCCUCAUCACCGCCACGCUGCGUCAGAGCCGGCGCGGCCCGACGACCGGGUGCUAACCACGGCAGAAGUCCACGACUACCCAUCUUCGGAAUCUGGCAUUGCAGCCGAUUGCCCACAUCCUCAUACUAGUAACGCUGAUGAUAGCCCCUCCUAUGAUCGCUCAGACUAUGAAGGCAAUUCAAGUUAUAGUCUGAGACAUACACCUGAUUAUCAUCACACAUUAGACUGUAAACAUCGGCCUAUCGAUUAUAAUCGUAGUCAUACACCCGAUUACAAUCACGGUCAUGGGUCAGACUGCGACCGAGCGCACGCGCGCUCACAGACUUCUCGUCGGCCGCACAGAAAGCAUCGGCGAGAAGAAGACGACGGUGCUCAGUCACUUGAUGAACGAUGUGCUAGGGAUCUAGACGAAAUUCUACCAGCAAGACUAGCAGCUGUCAAUUUAUCACGAGAACCACCACCGCAAACAUGGAAUAGAAGCAACAUCGCAGCGACUAUGGAGCGAUUUGAACCAGUUGACUAUUCGUAUGCGUAUUAUGACCAUCACUUAUCUAUGCCCUCGUCGUCAAGGAAGGUAAAUCGUCAACGUGGAAGAGGAGGUAUUCCGCGAGACAGGUCAUCACGUCAUAAUUAUGUUACGAGGUACGGCACCGAAGAAAACAUUUAUGAAGAAAUAACAGAUGGUUCUAGAACGUGUCCUAAGCAUCGUUAUGCCCCCCGACAGUCACUAGUUUCUUUAGAUAGAAGUGUAGUCGAAGAAGAAGUCCGUCGAGUAGAAUCCAGGCACAAACGAAUUUUGGGAGAGUUGAAUCUUAGCGUCGAGGCAAUGCUUAUGCCAGAAUGUGAAUCCCCCGAUUCCGAGCGGGCAGAAGACAGAGACAAUAUAGAGGAAUUAUUGCGAGUUGGACCGACGGAUGAGCUACUUUCACCGGCAAGCUGUAAUCCACCAGAUUUAGACAGCGGGUUUAGUGGCAGCAGUAGCGGUGCGAGUUAUGUCGGGAGUUUACGUCGUAAACCAACUGGAUCAGUGCCGCACUUACCCGCUGUAGCUUACGGCACACGAGGUGCAGGGGUACGAAUUCUAGGCGCAGACGAAUGCGGUCUACGAUGCCCUAAAGAUGUCCCAUCACCGCGCAGUUCCAGCUGCGGAGACGCAAAAACGAGCGGCUUUUGGAACAAAAAAGCUUGGAAGAAGAUAUCUGGGUUUUCUAGUUCUAACAGCAUCAACAAAGCCGGGCUUACUGGUCUGCUCGUUAGGUACACUUUCCGGCGUAAGUCCGGCUCGCAGGGCUCUCAGGGCAAGCGGCGUGCCGAGCCCGUCAAAUGCGAUGCGUGCCUCUCACAGCGAUGUUAGCCGCUCUAUGAUGACGCGGUUAGGCCAAGCAGAGCUAAAUCCAGAACAGCCACUAUACCGUACAGCUACUCCAACGGAAAACUGGUGGUGCCGCUGGAUUCCCUAGCACAGAGCUGAGGGGCCAGUCCCCCUCGGCAUUCCCGCCUCCAACUCCUCAGAGGGACUCCUCAACACCGCAGGCCAGCGGUAGACACCACCAGUGACGUAGUUCGACAACGAGCUAAGAACCAUUGUGUCACUUGAAACGUUUAAAGAAACAUUCCAUUUUACUUCAACAAUAGGUACGAGUAUCGUUAAUGCCACCUCAGCUAGUCUCAAAGACAAACUGUUCUUAGGUGUACCCAGUGUAAAUAUAGUGAACGGACAUUCAAAUAAUACUGUAGGAGAAACGGGGAGAGUAUACGUUGAAGUGAUAGAAAAGCCUAAAUUAAUUAUUUGUAUUGUUAUAACGAUCGUUUCAUAGAAACGUAAUGACUACAUUGUUGUUACUUAUCAAUUUUUAGUAGUUAAUAGGUACAUGAAAAGGCUGACAAAGUUGAAGAAUCUGAUUUUGUACAUGAUAUGAGCUGCCAUCUUAGCUAAUAUUUUAAUUUUAAAAAAGCAAGGUCAAUGUAUCCAUCUACAUUAUUGUAUCUGGGUGAAAAUUACAAAAAAAAAACAAGAAUCCAUUUAUUCGGCCAAAUAAGCCAACA